AUUGAACGCUGGCGGCGUGCUUAACACAUGCAAGUCGAUCGGUAACGCGGGGGCAACCCUGGCGACGAGAGGCGGACGGGUGAGGAACGCUUGGGAAUCUGCCUAUCAGCGGGGGACAACAUGGGGAAACUCGUGCUAAUACCGCAUACGCUCUACGGAGGAAAGCCGGGGACCGCAAGGCCUGGCACUGAUAGAUGAGCCCAAGUCGGAUUAGCUAGUUGGCGGGGUAACGGCCCACCAAGGCGACGAUCCGUAGCUGGUCUGAGAGGACGAUCAGGCACACUGGGACUGAGACACGGCCCAGACUGCGACGGGAGGCAGCGGUGGGGAAUAUUGGACAAUGGGGGAAACCCUGAUUCAGCGACGCCGCGUGGGGGAAGAAGGCCUGCGGGUUGUAAAGCCCUUUCGGUAGGGACGAAAGCUCUCGACCUAACACGUCGGGAGGUUGACUUAACCUACAAAAGAAGCACCGGCUAACUCUGUGCCAGCAGCCGCCGUAACAC
rnacentral:rRNA from 1 species